AAGGAAAAACGAAAAGAAAAAAGAAAGAAGACCCACCCAACCCAACCCCGUCCGUCUUCCUCUACCUCUGGAUCCCCACUCCUCUCACUCUCCCACCGCCCAGCCUCGCCGGCAGCCCCAGUCCAUCCGCCACGGCCGCCUGUCCUCCCUGAUGCCGGACCGCCCUUCCCCGCGCCUCCGUUCGUGUAUCGAUGAAGCCCACCUUCCUGCAACGCCACGAGGUCGAUGAGGCUCCGGCGUAACGGCUACGGCUCGGCCUCGCCGACGCUGCACCGGUCCUGGACAUUCCCUCCUCCCUCCGCCGUCAGAUCGACCGCCGCCUUUCUCCCACGUCAGAUCGACGCCGCCGGCCCAUCCUCGCCGAUGUGAGUGCCGGCGCGGCUGGCUUCCUCGCCGGCGCGCGCAUGCACCCUUAGGACGGUGCGCGGCACCCCGUCGAGGUCGCCUGGCUGCUUCGCUUGCUCGAGUGGCCGAGGCUGUGCGGGUGUCUGCACGCCGGCGACCAACCAUGACGCCGCUGCGAGCAACGGAGUCCGGCUGGGGUGGAGCUUCUCGCCCCCAAGCAUAGCAACCUCGCCGCCGCCUUCAAUUGUUCUGCACCCAAAGGAAAAGGAGGAGGACUAAAUGACAGAGAAGCUGGAGUACCCAGAGACAACUGAGGCAUGCUUCGUAGCAUAAGUUGCACAGUGGUAAACGUCUUGUAGCUUCUGCGAGCAACGGAGUCCGGCUGGGGCGCAUCCACGAUGUGGAGCUUCUCGCCGACAAGCAACAUUGACGCUGCCUUCAGUGAUUCUGCAUCCAAAGGCAAAGGAGGAGGACUAAAUGACAGACAAGCUGAGACAACUGAGACAUGCCUCGGAGCAUAAGUUGCAGAGUGUAUUACCUAUCACUGGACUGUUGAAAACAAGUUUGAGAGCGUCUUUUGUAGCUGUUAAGAGUGCUGUAUGGUGCGGUGGCGGCAAUGCUCGGGAUCUCUCCGACACUGGAGUUGAGAAAAAUGAUGUUUUCUUCUACUGCCCAUG